rnacentral:rRNA from 1 species
UACGUAGGGUGCAGGCGUUAAUCGGAAUUACUGGGCGUAAAGCGUGCGCAGGCGGUCUCUUAAGACAGGUGUGAAAUCCCCGGGCUUAACCUGGGAACUGCGCUUGUAACUGAGAGGCUUGAGUGUGCCAGAGGGGGGUGGAAUUCCACGUGUAGCAGUGAAAUGCGUAGAUAUCUGGAGGAACACCGGUGGCGAAGGCGGCAUCCUGGACCGACACUGACGCUGAGGAGCGAAAGCCAGGGGAGCAAACGGG